AUACUCUGGUUUCUCUUCAGAUCGUAUACAUCUUUCACCUUUUACUAAAGAUUUUCAUGGAGAGAAACAACUCUGAGUCAUAUCUCAAUUUUUUGAGGCUUUGUUUCACCAAGACC
ensembl:snRNA U5 U5 spliceosomal RNA